rnacentral:rRNA from 1 species
GACGAACGCUGGCGGCGUGCUUAACACAUGCAAGUCGAACGAUGAAGCCUAGCUUGCUAGGUGGAUUAGUGGCGAACGGGUGAGUAAUACGUGAGUAACCUACCUUUAACUCUGGGAUAAGCCUGGGAAACUGGGUCUAAUACCGGAUACGACCAAUCUCCGCAUGGGGUGUUGGUGGAAAGCGUUAUGUAGUGGUUAUAGAUGGGCUCACGGCCUAUCAGCUUGUUGGUGAGGUAACGGCUCACCAAGGCGACGACGGGUAGCCGGCCUGAGAGGGUGACCGGCCACACUGGGACUGAGACACGGCCCAGACUCCUACGGGAGGCAGCAGUGGGGAAUAUUGCACAAUGGGCGCAAGCCUGAUGCAGCGACGCCGCGUGAGGGAUGACGGCCUUCGGGUUGUAAACCUCUGUUAGCAGGGAAGAAGAGAAAUUGACGGUGCCUGCAGAGAAAGCGCCGGCUAACUACGUG